UGAUAUCUUGGCCCAGCUAAUCACUCCUCAUAUUUUAGAGACAGGGUGAUCACUAUAGAUGGUUGCAAAGCUUGCGUGAUUCAUUUGCAACUGAGCUCCUGAUACAUCAAGACGUCAGCUUUUUUGACAACAACUACAAACUUGCUGAUCUGAAGGAGGUGGUAGAACCAGUUCAUUAUUUUGUAUUCCCUUACAUUCUUCCUAUCAUUUGG
rnacentral:misc_RNA from 1 species